CCCCGGUGCAUCAGCUCCGCCCCCAUCCUGAGGCGGGGCCCUAUAGGUGGAGAGUCGUGGGAGAGGUCGCGGCCCCGCCUCUCCCCUCUUCCCCCUACACACGGAAGCUCAGUGGCCCCCCUGCCAGGAUGUCAGCCACCUGGGUUCCUGGCCUAGUACCCACCUUGCUGCUCGGCCUGCUGGCCGGCCUCCAACAGGUGAGCGCUUGGGAGGUAAAGUUGUGGAACUUUCGGGGCCCUACUCUUGUGGGUCAGGGGCCUGCUUCUGGGUCCCGGUCACCACCUUCCACUGUCAGGAUUUCCUCGUUACCACAUGCAGUUAGCAACUUCCUUUCUCUUUUUGCCGGGGAGGUAAGAGCAGAGGGAGGCCCUGAGAAGGCCUGGGUUCCUUCAUCUCGUGGGGGACUGUGUCGUGGGAACUACUCGCGCCCACCGUCAUCUGACACUUAACUCCUCUUGGUGACUGGGGACUUUGACCCUCACGUUAGCCUUGGCUCCUUCUCGCUGCGUCAGAAAGCGGGGACUAGCGGAGGGCCUGAGGUCUGGACUGAGAUCUGGACGCCUGGUCAGCCUAUCUCCCCAGCUCCAUUCUUCACAGUGCUGGGUGACCUUGGGGAAGUCCUAGCCCUCUCUGGGACUGUGUUUCUCUGCUUGUGCCCUAGAGGAAAGGAGGCUCCCUCUUCCCUUUCUAGGAGUGGGGGUAGGAUUACAGCUGGUGAUAGGAUUUGACCUGGCUGCCUGACCCAAGACUGGGGUGACCUCUGAAACCUGUGAUUUCCGAGGAUGAGGCAGGGUUUCAACACCCCCUCAUCCCUCCCUGCCCCAGUGAUGGGGGCAGUCUAUCCAGUUUUGGGAUGGGAGAUUAUCCUAGAAACUGACAUAGGUCUAGAACAUGGGUUUUUAACUUCUGUGUAAGAGUCUGAGGGAAGGCCCAGGCCUGCUCCCCACGACAUUCACUGCCUGCUGAGCGGCUGUGCUCCAGAAGCCCUGUUACUCCUUCUCUAUCAUCAGCGGUGGUGGGUUGGUGCCAGCACUAGGCUGAGCAUUUGUUGAUUCCUCCCGGCAACUCCAGGGGGCAGGCUGUUAAUGCCCCCAGUGCGCAUGUAAGUAAGUUGAAACUACCCAAGGUUACCCCAACGCUUGACACCACCUCAGUCGAGACCACCACCUGUUUAAAAUGGGGGUGGGGGAAGAGGAUCUGGGAGAGGAUCCCCUACUCCUCCAAACAGGAGCUCAGGAUUAAUUCCGUAAACCUGUUCAUUGCUUGUCUUUCUUAGUUGGGGGCCAGGAGAAGGGGGAGGGACAGGGGAUGGGAUCUGAGGGAAAGGGGGUACACUGAGUGCCUGGACCCCGUGGGCUGUCCCCAACUCUGCAGUCACCUUACCCUCUCUGGGCCAACCUGCAGGGGUUCAUUCCUGCUCUUGAGCCCACUGGCCAAGACCUGUGGGAAUCAGCCCCAAUCUUAUUGGCUGUCAUUGGUAUCUUAGCUUUACUGUUAUUGUCGUUAACAGUUGAACUGUCAUUUCAAGGUAUAAAGACAUGGUGGUCUUCGGACUUCCCUGGCAGGACAGGGGUUAAGACUGCACGCUUUCACGGCAGGAUGCACGGGUUUGAUCCCUGGUCAGGGAACUAAGAUCCUGUAUGUUGGUGGCGCGGCCAAAAAAAAAAAAGACAUGGUGGUCUCGCCAAAGUUGGCUUCUUAUUCUUGAGCCAUGGUUGUUCAUCUCCCUGGAGGCUGGGGUGGGGUGACAGAUAACCUCCCGUUUGCUGUGUUCCUCUACCUGCAUUCCUCCCCCACGGUCUGGGAGCAGCCAGGAUGAAAGGAAACCAGGUUGUCAGUGCUCUUUCAUUCAGUCUGCCGAAAUCGUGAGUAUUGGUUUUCAAUAGACAAAAAUCCCUCCCCUGGCGGGGUUUACAUUCUACUGAGGAGACAAACAAGUAGCAAGAUAAAGUAAAAUAUAUAGUAUGUUAGAUGUGGACAAGAGCUAUGCAGAUAAAGUAAGCACAGUUAGGGGAAAGGGAGUGCUUUGGGGGAGUAGAUGUAAUUUUAAGGAAGAUGGUCAGAGAAGGCGCUGGAGCCAGCCUCUCAGAUACCUGGGGAAAGAACUUUCCAAGCAGGGCUUACGCACGUAUUUGCUAUUAAUCAGGUUAAAUUCCGUAAUGAUAGCCUCCGUGUGGCACAGAACUAGUGCAGAAGAGGGAGGGAGGGAGGAGCUUGUUCCUGCAGGCAUGUGUAAAACAGUCAGACGUGUUCAGAGAACUCCCAGUGGGUGGGUGUGCAGGAGGGCCAGGGGGAGUGGGAAUGGGGGAUAGGGCUGGUCAUGGUGUCUGGGCCCCAGGGAGCCACUGAAGGAGGCUUCCAGCAAGGUUUUAGGUGUUCAGAUGUGUGGGAUAGAAACUUGCAGCAGUGUUGGGAGUGACGGAGUGGGCGCGGGGGUUGCUGGAGUCCUGGCCGUGGUGGGGAUGGGUUGGAAGGGUGGUCAGAAGCCGUGAGCUUACAGACCUGGGGGUGAGCAAAUGUGGCAGGAGGUGUGGUGAGGAGAGGAAGGACAGCUGGGACCACGAGGUGGCGCUGGGGCUGCAGCCACCGACCCGGGGAACAUGUGGAGGGAGGUGGAGAGCAAGUGUGGGGGAAGAUGCUGAUCCUCUGGGACCUGCUAGCAGUGAGGUACCUGGGCAGCACCUGGUGGAAACCCCAGCCCCCAGUUUAUGACCCAGACCUCCGCCUCUUUUCUUCCACAGGCUGCAGCCACAUGUGGUCUCUUCUUGUAAGUCUGGGAUUUGGGCUGUAACUUCCACUGUGGGGAGGAGACAUCCCAGAUCCUGCCCUGCCUGCCUUCAUCAUCCUCACCCUCUCCCCUUCUAGCCAGAAGCCAUACUCCGACCCAGAGAGGGAGACUCCGCCCCUCACUCCUUCCAGCAGCCUAUCCACGGGCAGUUUCACAUUUGCGGGCCAAUCCCCAUCCUUCUGACGCCAGCCUUAGGCCACCUCCCCUCUGAGGGUCUCCCUGGAAGCGAGGGCAAACACUCUCACUCUAUAAACGCUGAGAAGCCCAAGCACGAUGAGGAGGGGCUGAGGGGGGUGGCCUCUGGGCAGCCAAGUGUUUCCAGCAGUCAGCCCUGGAUGUUCCAGGGACACCGUGUCCCUCCCACCUCCUGCUCCGUGGCCACCAGCACCAGCUCACUCUUCCUGGAAUUAGCUCCUGGCCCCUCCCCACUGUCCCUCUUCCUCUACAUCUCCUUAGAGCGAUGUUGUAGCCACUACAACACUCAGUCCCCACACCCGCCCAGUGAGGUCGACAGGACCUUCAUUCCACCCAUCUUAUAGAUGAGGAAAGUGAGGCCUAGCAAGGAAUGUGACUUGGCACGAGUGCAUGAGGCCAGUAGUGAGCUGAGCCUGAAACCCAGGUCCUGAUCCCAGCCCCAGGUUCCUCCCACUGAGCCCAGGGGGCCUGUACCUCCACCCUGCUAGGGGUGCGGCUCGUGCCCUGAGCGCGUGGGUGAGUUUUAGGGAAGCUGGGAUCCUUCUGCCUCCCCACCUUGGUACCGAUGGCCUCUCUCUGACCCGGUCCGCAGCACCUGCCCUAAAGGGUUCAGCUGCUGUGGUAACAGCUGCUGCCAGCAGUACCAGCCAGAGCAGUUCCAGCUCUUCUCUGGCCCCUUGAGGUGAGCCUUGGGCCGGUUCCUCUGGCCCACCCAGGACUGGACUGGACUUCCUGCUGAGGGGAUCUUUGUCGUCGUCUUUCUGAUCAUCAUACCCCUCUUGUGCAUCUGUGGCCUGGCUAAGCGCUUCUGUCGCAACUGCAGAAAGUCGGAGCAGGACCCCCCAACGGAUCAUGAGGGGCCCCCAGAACGGCC